AGCGGCGGACGGGUUAGUAACGCGUGGGAACGUGCCCUUCACUACGGAAUAGUCCCGGGAAACUGGGUUUAAUACCGUAUACGCCCUUUCGGGGGGAAAGAAUUUCGGUGAAGGAUCGGCCCGCGUCUGAUUAGAUAGUUGGUGGGGUAAUGGCCUACCAAGUCUACGAUCAGUAGCUGGUUUUAGAGGAUGAUCAGCAACACUGGGACUGAGACACGGCCCAGACUCCUACGGGAGGCAGCAGUGGGGAAUCUUGGACAAUGGG
rnacentral:rRNA from 1 species